rnacentral:rRNA from 1 species
UGAGUAACGCGUGGAUAACAUACCUUUCAGUGGGGAAUAACAUCGGGAAACUGAUGCUAAUACCGCAGAUGUCAUUUCAUUGAUUUUGAUUUGACUGAAGGGGGGGCUCCUUUUGGACCUUCCGCUGAUAGAUUGGUCCGCGUCCCAUUAGCUAGUUGGUGGGGUAAAGGCCUACCAAGGCGACGAUGGGUAGCCGGCCUGAGAGGGUGUCCGGCCACACUGGGAUUGAGAUACGGCCCAGACUCCUUCGGGAGGCAGCAGUCGAGAAUCUUCCACAAUGUACGAAAGUAUGAUGGAGCGACGCCGCGUGUGUGAUGAAGGCUCAACGAGUUGUAAAGCACUGUCAGGGGGGAAGAAUCAGCGCAUAACUAAUAAAUAUGCGCUCUGACGUACCCCCAGAGGAAGCUCCGGCUAACUCCGUGCCAGCAGCCACGGUAAUACGGAGGGAGCAAGCGUUGUCCGGAAUUAUUGGGCGUAAAGGGCACGCAGGCGGUUCGGUAAGUCGAAUGUGAAAUCUUACAGCUUAACUGUAAAACUGCGUUCGAAACUACCGAACUUGAGUACUGGAGAGGUAUGCGGAAUUCCUGGUGGAGCGGUGGAAUGCGUGGAUAUCAGGAAGAACACCGGUGGCGAAGGCGGCAUACUGGCCAAGUACUGACGCUCAGGUGCGAAAGCGUGGGGAGCAAACGGGAUUAGAUACCCCGGUAGUCCACGCUGUAAACGAUGGGUACUAGGUUUUGGAGGUCUCAAGCCCUUCAGAGGCGCAGCUAACGCAUUAAGUACCCCGUCUGGGGAAUACGGU